UCUCCCUCCAGCCAACACUUCCGUGAUGUUACUUUGAAGAGAAGCUGCACGAGCCGUGGAACGAAAAAAAAAGACGGGGAAAAAGUGUCGCUGCUUAACUACUGAAACUGUUCCGGGACCGGGAGGAGGGAACUUGUGGCGGUAAUGCAGCAACCGCCCUAAAACCUCAAAAAAGAAGGAGGGAAAUUUAAAAAAAGAAGAGGAAAAAAAGAAAACUACCGCGGCGUGACAUCAGAAGCCGAAAAGGUGGUCGGGAGCAUCAGCUCCUGUAUAAAAACGCAGCAAGGCGCUCCAGGGUGGCGUGUUCGACCUGGUCCAGAUUGGUGGCCCGUCCAGAAUGGAACAACCUGCUUCCUGCUCACGGAGACCUGGUCGGACACGCCAUAUACAAAAGCCUAAGGCUGUCAAACAAUAGAUUGAUUUUCAUGAAGAUCUUCAAAUAGUAGGUGUCAUGGUUUAAUUCUGGGUGGCCGCCGUGUCCCCACUCUUUCUUGGCCGCUGUGCCUACAUCUAUCUGCAUUCUCCAACAUGGCCACGUUCUCAUUCUCCUACUUUCCAUCUGUCAAAUAGCGCUUUUUUUUUCUCUCUCAUUUCCAUCGUGGCCAUUAAUCUACCGUUAGCCCUAGCACGUUAAAAUGGAUCCUGGUGAUCUACAAACACAGUACCUGGCUUUGAAUGGCAGCCCUGCCAUUGCCUUUGUAUUGCCAUACGUCCCUUAAUGCAAGUAGGCCAUGAUCGCUAACUGUGCCCGCGCCUUCAUAGCCUACUUGUGUCAUUGUACGUCUGGCCUUGCGCGUAUAGUCAUUUUAUAUAGACAAACAUGGGUGCCUUCCGCGUCCAUGCACAGUAAGUGAACUAACCUGUACUUUUCUUCUAGCAUCAGUCAAGAGGAGCACCGACAUCCCGGCAUGUCCAUCUUAAUUAGAUUGCGUUUUAGUUAAGGUAAAAUUUCAAAUGUUAAGUUCAGUUUUUCUUUCUUGCUUGGCCGCUGUGCCAUUACUAUACCUGCUCUCACCUGAAUCUUGACUCUUCAUGGCCACUGUGUCAUGACUGUACUUGGUCUUGGUGUUUAUGCCAGUCUAUCAUUUCUGAUCUGUUUUUCCGUGUGCGUG